rnacentral:pre_miRNA from 1 species
ACGUACUUCUUUAUGUACCCAUAUGAACAUGAUAGCUAUGGAAUGUAAAGAAGUAUGUAU